rnacentral:pre_miRNA from 1 species
CAACUACUCCCUCUGUCCCAAAUUUCUUGUCUUAGAUUUGUCUAGAUACAGAUGUAUCUAAUACUAAAAUGUGACUUGAUACAUCCAUAUCUAGACAAAUCUAAGACAAGAAUUUUGGGAUGGAGGGAGUACUUU